GCCUAGUUAGCUUAGUUGGUAGUGCGUCUGCCUUAUAAGCGCUAGGCCGUGGGUUCGAUUCCCGCCCGGGGCG
rnacentral:tRNA from 1 species